rnacentral:rRNA from 1 species
GGACGAACGCUGGCGGCACGCUUAACACAUGCAAGUCGAACGGAGUUAUCGGAGCUUGCUCUGAAUAACUUAGUGGCGGACGGGUGAGUAACACGUGAGCAACCUGCCUUUGAGAUUGGGAUAGCUUCUGGAAACGGAUGGUAAUACCGCAUAACAUUACGGGGCCGCAUGACUCUGUAAUCAAAGAUUUAUCGCUCAAAGAUGGGCUCGCGUCUGAUUAGGUAGUUGGUGAGGUAACGGCCCACCAAGCCGACGAUCAGUAGCCGGACUGAGAGGUUGAACGGCCACAUUGGGACUGAGACACGGCCCAGACUCCUACGGGAGGCAGCAGUGGGGAAUAUUGCACAAUGGGCGGAAGCCUGAUGCAAGCGAUGCCGCGUGGAGGAAGAAGGUUUUCGGAUUGUAAACUCCUGAUCUGAGGGACGAUAAUGACGGUACCUCAGGAGAAAGCUCCGGCUAACUACGUGCCAGCCGCUGC